rnacentral:lncRNA from 1 species
UGUGAUCAGAACAAAGUCAGGGCAUUAGGGCCACCUCCAGGAACAAGCCCUGGAGAAUGAAGAAGAGCUUGAGGAAGGCACCCAGCUACCCACAGGAGGGAGAGGAGCCCUUGGGAAAGCUCAGCUCCGAAGCAAUGAGACUCCUCCACGUGGUCCUUAUCACUGCCGUUAUCAUCUUCCAGACAGCACCAGGGGGUUCAAUUUUGAAAGACCCUGCUACCUCCGUGGUGGGAUCUGCCUGAAGCAAGGGACCCCAGACUGUGAGCCCUUCCGAGGCCCCUGCCGGGCGUUCACCGUUUGCUGCAAAGUAAAGAGGAGCUGACGGGGCACAUGGAGCAGCCGAGAGGCCCUGAUGCCGGGAUCUGAGCAUGGUUCCCUUGUCCUAAUAACCCAAACGACAUGCUGGUCUCACUAUUCAAUUAUUGUGUCAUUAGGAUCGAUUAAAGGAACAGUUGUCUUCCACGGAGGGGUAGUCAGUGAGAGGGAGACGAUGUAAGAAUAAAAUUUAUAUUAUGCUUUAUAUUUUGCAAAGCAUUUUCAUUCAUAUAACCUGUCAUUCUUAGACUGGUUUAUCGGCCUCCUUUGGCGGGUGUAGAAACCAGACUCC